CUUCUGUGACUCAGAUUGAUCUGGUCACUGGUCAGAGACACUUCGUUUUCAGAACACUCCCUGCUCUGCCUUUUUCCCCUCACUUCUCCUCCUCCUCCUGUCCCAGCUGAGCCAGUGACCCAGUGAGUGAGCCCUUCCUCCUCAGGCAGAGGAGAGCCGCGUUCAUCAUCCUGAGGAGAGGCCUGCACUCAAGGGCUGGGAAGUACGUUUGUCCUUUCCUCAUUGGUUAUCUGUUCCCGUGUGUGUGUGUGUGUGUGUGUGUGUGUGUGUGUGUGUGUGUGUGUGUGUGUGUGUGUUUGUGUAUAUGUGAGUGUGGGUAUGUAUAUGUGUGCAUGUGCGUGCGUGCACAUGACUGUUUGUGAGUGUGCUAGUGUGUGUGUACAAGCCCAUCAGCAUUUUGUCACAUGUCUGAAUUUGUGUCCAGACUAACCCAUCAGAACCGGUUGGGAAGGACCCCAAGGACCAAGCGUCUGAUGGUCCCUCUCAAGGGACCACAGCAGGGGAGGGAGAAAGGGGGUUGUUUUGUUCCGUUUUAACCACCUUUUUGAACCAUUUUUCCAGGGCGAAGCCCUCCAAGAUAUUAUGUAUAAAUUGUGUCAUUAUGUAUAUGGGUAAAGGUGUACAAAUCUAUGUCCUCUUUGCAGCAGAUAUGAUUUUAUAUUUAUAGCGUGCGUUGACAAGUGAAAGCAAGCUAGGCCUUUAGCACAGGUGGCUUAAGGGAGGGGUGGGGCCAGGUAGAGGUGGCUGGAGGGUGUGGCCAGCAGAUGGUCAUCAGUCAGUGUCUCCGCCUUCUUUCUCUUCCCUUACUCCCCACCCCUCCGCUGGCCUCUGAGGAAGAUCUGCUCUGUCAUCCGUUGCAGAGCUCCGCUUUCCUCACCCCUCUCCCCACCCCAGGAAGGACGAGUCAGAGGCCUCCCUCAGGUUUUGUGGCCCCAGCCUUGAUCUUCUCAAUGUAAGUCAGCACUGUGACAGAGCUGGCUGACAAGUCGGUGCCAAGAGAAGGGGUCCCUGUAUGUCCCCAAGGCCGGGAGCUCUUCCUGGAAAGUGGCAUUAAGUGUCCCCUACUACCACCAUCACACCCCGCAGCUCAGGAGAUGGAGGCCCCGGGCCAGAGUUUCCAUGUUUGGUGGUGGAGGAGGGGGAGGAUGGAAGCCAGGAGCCAUCGUCCCCUGGGGUGCCAGGCAGUGUUUCCAGGGUGACACCCCGAAGUUCACUUCCUGUGUCACUCCACCUCAGGCCACACCUCACCCCUGUGAGUUAGCUCCCUCAGCCAGGCUGUUUCUCAGGCGUUCUUCCCAUCCCCCACCUGCCCCCUGUGCCUCAGUAGCCUCCUCUUUCACAGGCGAGGACUCGAGACCCCCCCUCCAGCAGACUGAGUAAAGACAGACUUGUGUUCCCAAGUGGUGGUUUUAUUUUUUUAGUUUUAUGUUUGUAUGGGAAAUUGUGGAUAAAGUGAAUGGACUGUAAAUAAAUGGUGUUUCCUCCUCCAUCAUGAGCUUCUGUUUUGAGUUCAUGGAGCCUGCCGUG
rnacentral:lncRNA from 1 species